rnacentral:rRNA from 1 species
AUGUCGUCCUUGUCGUGGUCAGCGGACCUCCCGUGGCAGGCGCGCGGCGGUGGUGUCUUCGACGUCGGGCAGGGCAGCGCGCUGGUGCUCGCGUCGUACCCGGUGCUCCUGUUCCUCGUCCUCGUCUCCGCGUUCGUCAGGUACGUGUGGAUCGCGCUGGCGCUCUACUGCGCGAUCUUGUUCGUGCUCUUCUGCACCGGUCGCUUGCUCGCCGGGCCGGUGGUGUUCGUGCACGACGAGGCCAUGGCGGCCGUCGAGCGAGGCGGCCUACCACAGGCGUCAAUUGCGGCCAUCCCGGCGUUCGUGUACGGAACCACAGCUUCGGCCGGUGCCGGUGCCGGCGACGGCGAGGCCCAGUGCGCGGUGUGCGUGGAGGCUGGGGAGAAUUCCACAUCGGGUGCGGCGUAA